GUGGGGAAUAUUGGACAAUGGGGGGAACCCUGAUCCAGCCAUGCCGCGUGUGUGAAGAAGGCCUUUUGGUUGUAAAGCACUUUAAGCGAGGAGGAGGCUACCGAGAUUAAUACUCUUGGAUAGUGGACGUUACUCGCAGAAUAAGCACCGGCUAACUCUGUGCCAGCAGCCGCGGUAAUACAGAGGGUGCAAGCGUUAAUCGGAUUUACUGGGCGUAAAGCGCGCGUAGGUGGCCAAUUAAGUCAAAUGUGAAAUCCCCGAGCUUAACUUGGGAAUUGCAUUCGAUACUGGUUGGCUAGAGUAUGGGAGAGGAUGGUAGAAUUCCAGGUGUAGCAGUGAAAUGCGUAGAGAUCUGGAGGAAUACCGAUGGCGAAGGCAGCCAUCUGGCCUAAUACUGACACUGAGGUGCGAAAGCAUGGGGAGCAAACAGGAUUAGAUACCCUGGUAGUCC
rnacentral:rRNA from 1 species